rnacentral:ncRNA from 2 species
UAGCGACGCUCUGGAAAGUGCCACUCCCACAAAGGGAAGGGCCGCCGAAGGGGUAACCCCAUCCAAACCCGUCUGGAGAGGCGGGCGGGGGAAAGCUCUCAGGUUUCCGUGACAGAGGGGGCGCC